UUAGUGGCGCACGGGUGCGUAACGCGUGGGAACUGCCCCUUGGUUCGGAAUAACAGUUGGAAACGACUGCUAAUACCGGAUGACGACGUAAGUCCAAAGAUUUAUCGCCGAGGGAUGAGCCCGCGUAGGAUUAGGUAGUUGGUGUGGUAAAGGCGCACCAAGCCGACGAUCCUUAGCUGGUCUGAGAGGAUGAUCAGCCACACUGGGACUGAGACACGGCCCAGACUCCUACGGGAGGCAGCAGUGGGGAAUAUUGGACAAUGGGCGAAAGCCUGAUCCAGCAAUGCCGCGUGAGUGAUGAAGGCCUUAGGGUUGUAAAGCUCUUUUACCCGGGAUGAUAAUGACAGUACCGGGAGAAUAAGCUCCGGCUAACUCCGUGCCAGCAGCCGCGGUAAUACGGAGGGAGCUAGCGUUAUUCGGAAUUACUGGGCGUAAAGCGCACGUAGGCGGCUUUGUAAGUAAGAGGUGAAAGCCCAGAGCUCAACUCUGGAAUUGCCUUUUAGACUGCAUCGCUUGAAUCAUGGAGAGGUCAGUGGAAUUCCGAGUGUAGAGGUGAAAUUCGUAGAUAUUCGGAAGA
rnacentral:rRNA from 1 species